GCUGCUGACAACAGUGGACCCAACACUGCCCAAGGAGCUGGACCCGACCCUGUCCAAGCCACCAGCUCAAAUAACCAAAACACCAUCUCAGUGCAAAGUGUUCUGGAACAGAGGGAUGAGGAUCAAGACUGAAGUCUCUGCAGAUUGUAAUAUAAUAUUAUUGCAUCAUUGCAAUAUUAUUAUUAUUAUUACAUAUAAUAAUAUCAUUUGACAGGGGUCUGUGUGGAUCUUGGUUUUUAAAUUAAUCAGUAUUAAACUACAUACAGGAAGGGACAUUAUUUAUUUUGACUGAAUUGAUUCAUAGCCAUUUACAGUGCCUUUUUGGAAUUUACUACUAAUCAAAGUAAACUUCACAUUACUGCC